AUUGAACGCUGGCGGCAGGCUUAACACAUGAAAGUCGAGCGGGGGAAGGUAGCUUGCUACUGGACCUAGCGGCGGACGGGUGAGUAAUGCUUAGGAAUCUGCCUAUUAGUGGGGGACAACAUCUCGAAAGGGAUGCUAAUACCGCAUACGUCCUACGGGAGAAAGCAGGGGAUCUUCGGACCUUGCGCUAAUAGAUGAGCCUAAGUCGGAUUAGCUAGUUGGUGGGGUAAAGGCCUACCAAGGCGACGAUCUGUAGCGGGUCUGAGAGGAUGAUCCGCAACACUGGGACUGAGACACGGCCCAGACUCCUACGGGAGGCAGCAGUGGGGAAUAUUGGACAAUGGGGGGAACCCUGAUCCAGCCAUGCCGCGUGUGUGAAGAAGGCCUUAUGGUUGUAAAGCACUUUAAGCGAGGAGGAGGCUACUUUAGUUAAUACCUAGAGAUAGUGGACGUUACUCGCAGAAUAAGCACCGGCUAACUCUGUGCCAGCCGCCGCCGUAA
rnacentral:rRNA from 1 species